UCUUUGCUCAUAUGUUAUCUAUCUCUUCCACUGGAUUGUAAGCCCCUUGAAGGCAAGAACUGUAUCUGUUUUAUUCACCUACCUAUGCCCUAUCAUUUAGUAUAGCUCCUGAUACAUAGCAAAAUCUCCAUAAAUAUCUACUAAAUAAACAAAUGAACGAAUUUUUUUCAGACUGAAGCAGACAUCAUCCCUAAUCCAGUCAUUGGUGGCUUUGAGCAGGAUGUGGCAGGUGUUUCCACGAAUAAAAAGGGCUCUGGUCCUGCUGUCACCACCCAGCACCCACCAAGUCUAUCCACAGCUUCUCUCACAGGCCAAGGGCUGCACCCCAGAUCUGGCCUGGCCUGGAAGGGCAGGAAAACAACAGGCAAAGAGGUAAAGAGAGCUGGAAGCCAAGCCUAGAUUUCUCCUGUAAACCCUGGGCUCCUUCAAAUACACCUCAGCUGCUUCAAACUGAACAGAUCUGAC